rnacentral:rRNA from 1 species
GACGAACGCUGGCGGCGUGCUUCAUACAUGCAAGUCGAACGAGAAGCAGGAGCUUGCUCCUGUGGAAAGUGGCGGACGGGUGAGUAACACGUAGGAAAUCUGCCUUUGGGUGGGGGACAACAGUUGGAAACGACUGCUAAUACCCCAUAUGAGCUUGGUUGCGAUACCAAUCUUGAAAACUCCGGUGCCUAAAGAUGAGCCUGCGUCUGAUUAGCUUGUUGGCGGGGUAAUGGCCCACCAAGGCGACGAUCAGUAGCUGGUUUGAGAGGAUGAUCAGCCACAAUGGGACUGAGACACGGCCCAUACUCCUACGGGAGGCAGCAUUGGGGAAUCUUGCGCAAUGGGCGAAAGCCUGACGCAGCAAUGCCGCGUGAGGGAAGACGGCCUUAGGGUUGUAAACCUCUUUCAGCAGGGACGAACACAGACGGUACCUGCAGAAGAAGCCCCGGCUAACUACGUGCCAGCCGCCGCCGUAA